rnacentral:lncRNA from 1 species
ACUCGGGUUAUUGGUGACAGAAACAGUUGGGAGGUGGAGAGAGGUGGGGAUGCCUAGGGCCUGGGAACAGUUCUCGAGAGUUUCAAGAAACAAUCCUUUGGUGAAAGGCCAGCAGGAGAAAGAGUAAGGAAUCUGGAAAUGGGAGGAGGCUCCUAAUGAAUAUUGACUUUUCUGCCCCUCCAGCUCACAGGUAAUACACCUGCU